UACGUAUGGUGCAAGCGUUAUCCGGAUUUACUGGGCGUAAAGGGAGCGCAGGCGGCGCGCCAAGUCUGAUGUGAAACCCCGGGGCUCAACCCCGGGCAUGCAUUGGAAACUGGCGGGCUGGAGUGCCGGAGAGGUAAGCGGAAUUCCUAGUGUAGCGGUGAAAUGCGUAGAUAUUAGGAGGAACACCAGUGGCGAAGGCGGCUUACUGGACUGUAAAUGACGCUGAGGCUCGAAAGCGUGGGGAGCAAACAGG
rnacentral:rRNA from 1 species